GUUUGAUCCUGGCUCAGGAUGAACGCUGGCGGUAUGCUUAACACAUGCAAGUCGAACGGUCUCUUAGGAGAUAGUGGCGGACGGGUGAGUAACGCGUGAGAAUCUGGCUCUAGGUUCGGGACAACCACUGGAAACGGUGGCUAAUACCGGAUGUGCCGAGAGGUGAAAGGUUAACUGCCUGGAGAUGAGCUCGCGUCUGAUUAGCUAGUUGGUGGUGUAAGGGACUACCAAGGCGACGAUCAGUAGCUGGUCUGAGAGGAUGAUCAGCCACACUGGGACUGAGACACGGUCCAGACUCCUACGGGAGGCAGCAGUGGGGAAUUUUCCGCAAUGGGCGAAAGCCUGACGGAGCAAUACCGCGUGAGGGAGGAAGGCUCUUGGGUCGUAAACCUCUUUUCUCAAGGAAGAAGCACUGACGGUACUUGAGGAAUCAGCAUCGGCUAACUCCGUGCCAGCAGCCGCGGUAAUACGGAGGAUGCAAGCGUUAUCCGGAAUGAUUGGGCGUAAAGCGUCCGUAGGUGGUUUAGUGAGUCUGCUGUUAAAGCAUUUGGCUUAACCAGAUAAAAGCAUUGGAAACUACUAGACUAGAGUGCGAUAAGGGUAGAGGGAAUUAAUGGUGUAGCGGUGAAAUGCGUAGAUAUUAGUAAGAACACCGGUGGCGAAAGCGCUCUACUAGGUUGCAACUGACACUGAUGGACGAAAGCUAGGGGAGCGAAUGGGAUUAGAUACCCCAGUAGUCCUAGCCGUAAACGAUGGAUACUAGGCGUUGRGAGUAUCGACCCUCUCAGUGCCGUAGCUAACGCGUUAAGUAUCCCGCCUGGGGAGUACGCACGCAAGUGUGAAACUCAAAGGAAUUGACGGGGGCCCGCACAAGCGGUGGAGUAUGUGGUUUAAUUCGAUGCAACGCGAAGAACCUUACCAGGGCUUGACAUGUCUGGAAUCUUCCUGAAAGGGAAGAGUGCCUUCGGGAACCGGAACACAGGUGGUGCAUGGCUGUCGUCAGCUCGUGUCGUGAGAUGUUGGGUUAAGUCCCGCAACGAGCGCAACCCUCGUACUUAGUUGCCAGCACUUCGGGUGGGCACUCUAAGGAGACUGCCGGUGACAAACCGGAGGAAGGUGGGGAUGACGUCAAGUCAGCAUGCCCCUUACGUCCUGGGCUACACACGUACUACAAUGCUACGGACAAAGGGCAGCGAGACUGCGAAGUCAAGCAAAUCUCAGAAACCGUAGCUCAGUUCAGAUCGCAGGCUGCAACUCGCCUGCGUGAAGGAGGAAUCGCUAGUAAUUGCAGGUCAGCAUACUGCAGUGAAUUCGUUCCCGGGCCUUGUACACACCGCCCGUCACACCAUGGAAGCUGGUCACGCCCCAAGUCGUUACCCUAUCCGUUCGCGGAGGGGGACGCCCAAGGUAGG
rnacentral:rRNA from 1 species